UGGCAUUAACCACAUGUUGAUGUUCGUCGUCUGAGAGUCCAACGUCUAUGUGUUGUCUAUCGCUGACUGCAAGCCACUGACUCAAAGAAUGACACACCAAUAGUAUAGACAUGCGCGAGUUCUAGGUCAAAAACAUAUUUUAACUAUUUUUAUUCUUAUAAAAAUGAUAGUAAAGAAAAACAUAGUUGAAUUUGUUGUACUUUUAUAUAAUAUAUUUCAAAAGUUAAUGCAAUUAACUAUUAUUGUUUAAGCACAUUUAACUUGAUUAAUGAGUCAAAGGAAGUUACAUUUUCUUUGCAACGUUCACAUAUUGGUUGCUAUUAAUAAGGCUUUGUUUUUGCAUACAAAGCCAUGACUUGCCUAUAUGAAAAAACUGAUUACGGGAAACAAACUGAGUGUGAAGCUCUUUUCUUAUUCUAGUCCACAACAAAAAUAACAAUCCUCUCAUACCAAAAUUAAGAAAAGCUACAUAUUUUAAUUUUUGUCCAGUCAACAACUCUGGGUUUCAUCUUCCUGAAAUUUUUUUCUUCUUGUUAGUUAUGUAUCCUUGGUUUUAAACCAAGGUUGAAGAGCCUGUUGAAUAUCGGGUUACUAUUUUGUAGGUUUCUUAUGAAUUGUUGAUAGAACUAUGUCGACGGUCAAGUCAAACAAUAAUAUAUAGCACUGAUAAGUUAUUUGAUAUCUCUCUUUUUAUUCUCUUCAAUAUUUAAUUAUUUCUCAUUUUAUGUGUUGAUUAUUAUUUGGAGAUAAUUUUAUAUCAAUAUUUUACAACAGAAGUAUGUAUGUUUUUCUUAUUCUACCAGUGUUUCUUUUUUUUUUUUUUUCUUUUCUUUUUUCAGAUAAAAUAGUUCGAAUCAAAUAGACACGUAUAGACUAGUUUGUAGAAAACAAGGGAAAAUAGCAAGUAGACAAGGUUUGAGAAUGGACAUGGUGGAGAGUCGGUCUAUAACCUUUUGUACUUCAUUUAUCAAAAAAAUAUUUAGAAGACAACUUCAUAUUUGCAAGAGUACGUCAGAAAAAGCCUGCAUGCAUGUGACAUAUUUUGACAGGGGUUACGUCAGGGUUUAUGCCAGGAGCGUAUUUGCCAGGAGCUAAGGCCCUGGCAUAGUCAUUUGCGAUGACCUGAAUUGUUGGGGAUUCUGCCCUUGACAAAACUCCUGCAAACGUCAGGGCUUCUGCCCUUGUCAAAUUACCAUAUUAAAUUUCUCGUAGUGAUCAUCCUAAUUAUCAAUAUGUAACCAUAGCUUGUCCGGUGAAAAAAAGUAUUAUAAUCAAACUUGUCGAUUAUAAUGAUGGCGAGAUUAUGCGAUACAAUUUUUUUUCAUUGAUAAUCUUUAGGUUAUACCGUUAUUUAUUUAUUUUUGACAAAGGUUAUGCCAUUUUUUAUAAUGUUUGUUGUUAGACUUUUUGUUUUUUUAACAUGACAUUUUGUUGUUGUUGUUUAUAUUCGAGAUUAGAGAGAGUAUUUCUCUAUUCCGCCACUCUCUUGUUUGUCUUUCUUGUGUACUUAACACAUAAAAAAAAUUGACAUCAUAUCAUAAUAUACAAUUUCUGGUGUCAACCUUUUGCGAUAACAUUUUUGUUUUUUAAAUAGGUUUGUGUUAGGUUAAUAACUUAUUUUUGUGUUAAUUUUGUGAACAUUGGAAAAGGUUAAAGCCAUUUUGAUUGACUUUGAUAUGUACAUGCAAUAUGAAGUAGAAACGUGGAAAGCAAGCCUGUGCAAGUAAUACAUGGUGGCUUGUUAUUCAAUUGUUCGCACAUGUUCAUAUGUUGUACAUGUUGAAAUUGUAUGCAUGGCAGUAAAUAAUUUUGACAAUUUGUCCAAUUGUUUACGGUGCCAUAAAUUGGAGUGGUUGAGGCAAUGGCUUUGCAAUCCUAUAAAUAGCUUGCCCGUGAAUCAUUUCCAAUCAUCCCAAAUCAGUAACAACACAAGAACAAGUAAAGCUUGUUUAGAUAGUGAGAGAAAAAAUAUAGAGAGAAAAAUUAGUUUCUCCUGUGAGAUUUCUCCUAGUUUGUGUUAGUUAGUAUUCUCCUAUUUAUAAGAGAGAGUGGUAAUUGUACUCUCCUUGUAGUUAGAGAGAGGUCCUGUAAUUUCUUCCACUUAGUGAAAGUUCUCUACUCUUGCCCCGUGGUUUUUUCCCCUUAUUUGUUGAGGGGUUUCCACGUAAAAUAUUGUGUGUUCAGUUCCUCUUUUCUCGUCUCUUAUUU
rnacentral:lncRNA from 1 species